GACGAACGCUGGCGGCGUGCUUAACACAUGCAAGUCGAACGGGUCUGCCCUGUUUUUUGCGGGGUGGGUCAGUGGCGAACGGGUGAGUAACACGUGAGUAACCUGCCCCUCACUUCUGGAUAACCGCUUGAAAGGGUGGCUAAUACGGGGUGUUCUGGCUGUGCCGCAUGGUGUGGCUGGGAAAGAUUCACUUUUGUGGUGUUUUGGUGGGGGAUGGGCUCGCGGCCUAUCAGCUUGUUGGGGGGGUGAUGGCCUGCCAAGGCUUUGACGGGUAGCCGGCCUGAGAGGGUGGGCGGUCAAACUGGGACUGAGAUACGGCCCAGACUCCUGCGGGAGGCAGCAGUGGGGGGUAUUGCACAAUGGGCGGAAGCCUGAUGCAGCGACGUCGCGUGAGGGAUGGAGGCCUUCGGGUUGUGAACCUCUUUCGCCGGUGAAGAAGGUCCUGCUCUUUGUGGUGGGGUUGACGGUAGCCGGGUUAUGAAGCGCCGGCUAACUACGUG
rnacentral:rRNA from 1 species